GGAGGGUAUAGCUCAGUGGUAGAGCAUAUGCUUAGCAUGCAUGAGGUCCUGGGUUCAAUUCCCAGUACCUCCA
rnacentral:tRNA from 1 species